rnacentral:rRNA from 1 species
GAUGAACGCUGGCGGCGUGCCUAAUACAUGCAAGUCGAGCGAACGGACGAGAAGCUUGCUUCUCUGAUGUUAGCGGCGGACGGGUGAGUAACACGUGGAUAACCUACCUAUAAGACUGGGAUAACUUCGGGAAACCGGAGCUAAUACCGGAUAAUAUUUUGAACCGCAUGGUUCAAAAGUGAAAGACGGUCUUGCUGUCACUUAUAGAUGGAUCCGCGCUGCAUUAGCUAGUUGGUAAGGUAACGGCUUACCAAGGCAACGAUGCAUAGCCGACCUGAGAGGGUGAUCGGCCACACUGGAACUGAGACACGGUCCAGACUCCUACGGGAGGCAGCAGUAGGGAAUCUUCCGCAAUGGGCGGAAGCCUGACGGAGCAACGCCGCGUGAGUGAUGAAGGUCUUCGGAUCGUAAAACUCUGUUAUUAGGGAAGAACAUAUGUGUAAGUAAAUGUGCACAUCUUGACGGUACCUAAUCAGAAAGCCACGGCUAACUACGUG